CUAAAGCAUGACUGCGUGUCAGCCACAGUUUAGAAAAGUACACAUCUUUCCAGGAAGAAAUGAAUGGAUUUCAUGUGUAUUUUCGCCUUGCUCUCCUCCUUCUUCCUAAUAGGCUUAACAGACAGUGACAACAGCUCUGGCGCCCGUGUUAAAGGCCAUUGGUAAAUGGAUGGCAUAUUGAAAAAUAUGCAUUUGUUUUUUUUUUCCCCCUGCAGAAAACUGAAUAUUAACGACCCCAUGUGAACACCAGCCAAUACAAAUCAAUGGCCCCCAGGAGGAGAAAUUCCAAAUCACAUCAAAUACCAUCCAUCACACCCCCUUCCUUUAUUUUCUUUAGUCUCUUGACUUGGAGAAUAAUGGCUGCUGUGGCAAUCGAUAGAUUUCCUCACAACUAAUGUCACUCUCUGUUCUGCUCUCUCCCACACACCUCCUCACUUGUUGAGAGGCUGGAUAGCGCAGCGCAGAUUUUUUCUCAUUUUCCGCUCACACACUCCAUUUGUUUUUACAUCUUUGUACUUCCCUCCAUCUCUGGUCCCUUUUUCGCUCACUCCUCUCUUCUGUUGCUCCCCUCUCUCUGCUUUCCUCUCUAUCUCUGACAGCUGUUGUUGCUUUGCUGUGUUUGCAGCCUACGCCUUAUCUGGGCAUGAAUUCAUUUAGCUGCCAUUAGAUGCCUCUCCACAGACCCUGCCCAGAACUCUUCUAAAGGAGGGAACCCAUUUAAACAGCAUAAUUCAUAACACGGAGAGCAGCGGUACAGAUGGAGGAGUAAUGUGCUUUAAUGCUGUCAACUGUUUUAGCACCAAAACUGUGUAUACCACCAAGGAACGGCAGAGGUCUACUCAUACAUACUAAUUGAAAAUCAAAUUGAAGAAGCUCCUCCGUUCCACCUGUCACUUUUGCCAAGGUAUUAAUGGAAGUCAUUAACCUGUUAACGACCGGCAUACUGUAAUGGUCAAUUAACUGGCAUUACACAUGCCUUUAUUUAAUUUGUGUUGCACAGUUCAAACAUCACAGUAAAAAAUAAAAUGAGAGGCCUCCAACG